GGGUAAGAGGCUGUGGGCUUUUUUAACUUAUGAGACAAUUACACUUAUAGUUAAGUAAAUAUGAUCGUAACCUACUAAAAGUCAACACAGUAACAGCCCCACUUCAUGAAUUUUCCUAGGAUUAAAGGGAGAUCCUGGCUGCACGCACGCUCCCCGGACUGCACAAACGACCGGGAAUUCGGCACAAUUAGCCAAUCGUUCCCUCUCCAGGCCUCCCAAGCCCCCGACCCCGCGUCAGGCACCGUUUCCAGCACACGCACUUCCUUACAAAGGAGCUGCGGACCCACAGGAAACGGGAGCGCCGGGCUCUCUCGGGGACUUGUCCCCGCGGCGCGAGCCCCGCGCCCGCCACCUCGGGGCGCACUGCCGCUGCAGCCCGCGCAGCCCUCCCCGGCCGGGCCCAGCACCCGCUUCCUCGACCUCCCCGGGCUCGGACCUUGCAGUCCACCGCGACGGCGUCGGGGGGGAUGAUGAGCGCCUCCUCGCCGCUCUUGGGCUCGUCCUUCUUGGCCUCCUUCUGGGCCAGAGCGGAGUUGAACGUCACCUUCAC
rnacentral:lncRNA from 1 species